UACCAGCACCCCGAGUGGUCGGGACGAUUAUUGGGCCUAAAGCAUCCGUAGCCGGUUCUGCAAGUCCUCCGUUAAAUCCAGCUGCUCAACAGAUGGGCCGCGGAGGAUACUACAGAGCUAGGAGGCAGGAGAGGCAAGCGGUACUCAGUGGGUAGGGGUAAAAUCCGUUGAUCCAUUGAAGACCACCAGUGGCGAAGGCGGCUUGCCAGAAUGCGCUCGACGGUGAGGGAUGAAAGCUGGGGGAGCAAACCGGG
rnacentral:rRNA from 1 species